UUAGGACUUCUUUUACUUUAGUGCAUCAAGUAAUGUGAAGGUUUGACUAACAUAAUCAGCUACAGAUGCCUCUAAAGAAUGAUUUUCCUCUAUAGUCAUUCUCGUAAGACAACAGUGAUGGGGAAUAAAGUUUUGAAAUGUAUCAUUGUGAAUGUGAAAAAGAUUUCCAGGUUUUUCCUUGUUAAUCAUGUAAAGGAAGUUUAAAAACUUAGCUGCCCUUAUAGAAGGAACCAGUAUUUUCAUAGAAGUACAGUGUGCUGUCUUAAAAGGUGUUUUGCUGUGGUCUUUGGACCUCUACAGAUUUCCCUGUCUCUUUUUCAGGAGGUUCAUGAUUUCAGAGUGUUCUUGCAAAUGGAUGAAGACACUUUUUGAUUUUUCACUUGUGGACACUUGUAAUGCUGGUCUAAAAUUGAGAAAUGGGAAUUGAACUCAGGCUCUUGAACUUGCAGUCAUGGAAUUUAUAUACCAAUUGCUGUUAUAGAUUGAAAUUUCUGAUUAGAAUGCUGAACUAUCUCAACAAAACCCACAGCUUCAUAAGAAAUGGACAAUCACAGUCAUGCUAACCAGAAAUUACCAGCUCAGGAAAGUUUCUUUUAGUUUGACACAAGGGAAAUGCAGUAGUCUCUUCAAUCAACUUCAUGAACACUACUCUCACAUACAAGAACCUUAAAGAAUUCAUGGACUCCUGAGUUUUGCUUGUCUUUGAGAAGUUCUCCUUGACUCUCUGUCAAGCAAGUAUUCAUUUACGCCUUCUACUUGGAACCCUGGUCAUACUCUCAACAACCAUUUCCUGCUUUGGAUUCUGGGCACCAAAUCCCCACUUCAUGGCAAGAAGAAAUUUGCCCCCCAUCUCUAUCCAACAUUUAUUUUCUUGCCUCAGUUUGUCCCUUCCACACAAAU